UGGGCACUGAUGGACGGCGGGCCUGUCUCGCCCCUCUCCCAGCCGCGCUGGGAUGACCAGCAGGCCGCUCUUGCGACGGCCAGGCACUCGUCUGUCCCGCCCCUGUGGCCAGGGUGGCCUUCAAGGGUCCGCUCAUUCAGAGAGGCCCCCCAGGCCUGAGGAACCCCUGCAGGGCCUUUAGACCCGCGGCCGCACCGUCCAGAGGCCUGACCUGCACCCCGGUAGCUCAGGCCCUACCUUGCCGCACCCCUCCUGCAAAUGUUCUCCUGAACUUUGUUUUCCCCCCACCUUGUUUCCCUCGUCGUCCUCUGUGGCCGCUGCCUCUCGGCCUCAGAAGCUUCUCUUCCCCUGGACCCAGUGCUGGGCCCGUUCCCCAGGCGACCUGACCUUUCCCAUGUCCUCGCCCACCAUGCGGGCACCGGUGACUCCAAAUUCGUAUCCCCACUACCCUCCAGGCCCCAGCUUCCCACUGCGUGCGCCACAUCCUCAGUGCGGCGUCUCAUCUUCCCUGCCCAUGAGAGGCUCCUUCCUCAGCCCUCGCUUUCCUAAAACAUGGCGCUAAACUCCUCUAAAUUGCUAAGGACGAAAACCUUGCAGAUAAUCUUGAUUCUUCUCUCUGCCUGGCCCCCAGGUCAACCUAUCACUGUGCCCUAGAUAUCUUUCCACUCAACCCACAAGCCUAAAGCCCCAUCUUCUCCCACCCAGACUAUUUACCCUCGUUGCCUGGAUCUGUUCUCCAUGUUUUAAAUCUUUAAAAUUAAAAGAUGAUCCCCUACUUCUGGCCUAAAACCCUCCAAGACUUCCCACUGCACCUAAAAGCCGCACUCAGUACUUGGCCCUGCAGGUCCUGUAUGAUCUGGCCCCUGCUGUCUCUGCAGCUUCCUCUCCCCACGGACUCUCCACUCUCCAGCCACAAGGCCUUUUUGUGGCUAUUGAAUAAUUCAUGCUCUUCGCCCUUCUGAAGCGGUUCUUUAAACUCACCCCUGUAAUCUGUCUAGCCCUGUCACAGCACUGCCAAAAUUGAGGACACCUGUGGUCACGGUGGAGCCUGUCUGACAUGUUGAGCCAGCCAGGCAGUCGGCUGCCAGGCAGAACAGGACUACUUACUGCAUUUCAGAGGAAUGAUGCUCCCGGAUUUGCUGCUGAGGAAACGGAGAUUCAGAGAAGUUUCAAGCUCUGUUGCAAGGACAUGUAACUAACAAGUGGGAAUUUGAACCCACGUUGGCCCGACUCCCUGUGUUUUCUGCCUCACAGGAGAGCCACUGGUUUAGAUGAGAAAACUGAGAUACAGAGAGAUUAGAGACUUGCCCAUGGUCACAUAGCUAACAGGUAGCAGAGACAAGAUACUAACCCAGGCAGUCUGGCUCCAGGCAAACAUCCCUGAUGCCUCCUCUAGAGCACUGAGACAGCAAAGCUGAAUCAGGCCAAGUUCCCACUACAGCAGUGAAUAUAGACAUGCCAGCAGACCAUGAUGAUUCAGUGCGAUAAGGGCCCCUAGAGCACUAAGAAGGAACACCUGGCCUUAUCUGGGCCUGUUGGUUGCUGUAGGGAUACAGUAAAGUGAGAUAGUGUAAAUGCCUGAAGAUAUAGCUGCUACAAAUAUAGGGUGAACACUUGUUUUCAUGAUAGGGUCACUCCACGGUGUUUUGUGGGGUAUUUUUGCAAUUAAAAUAUAAACAUUUUUAGAAAUAAAUGAUUCCAAUGUCCACAUAUAACAGUGGACA